rnacentral:rRNA from 1 species
UACGUAGGGUGCAAGCGUUAAUCGGAAUUACUGGGCGUAAAGCGUGCGCAGGCGGUUAUGUAAGACAGUUGUGAAAUCCCCGGGCUUAACCUGGGAACUGCGUUUGAAACUACGGAGCUAGAGUGCGGCAGAGGGGGGUGGAAUUCCACGUGUAGCAGUGAAAUGCGUAGAUAUGUGGAGGAACACCGAUGGCGAAGGCAGCCCCCUGGGCCGACACUGACGCUCAGGCACGAAAGCGUGGGGAGCAAACAGG